ensembl:lncRNA
CAGUGAACAGCUAUGGUCGGUACAGCAGUCACUUUCAGCCUCAGUGUCACCGCAGCCAUAGUAGAGCGGGCUUUGAUAUGUCUGUGACUAUAGCAGGAGUGUUUGAAGAGACUGAGAGUGGAGAGAGGUGGGGGUCAAGAAAGGGAAGCCAACACCACCCCUUCUCAUAUCCCGCUUCAAUCCCCCACCCCACCCCCCCGCCGCCCCGAUCCCAGCUUUAAAUGGGCUUGUGCAGUCGAAACCACCAGUUUGGGCUUCACCACAGGUUCAGCCUACAAUGUGGACACUUCAAAGACUUCAAAGAUGGCACGGUAGCACUCGAUUGCAUUCUGAUGGCUGCUGCAAGCUUCAUGUACCAUUCCAUAUUUGGUCAGGUCCUGCGCCUCAAAUCCUAAUAGUGCUGCCCCAGAUACAGCACAGCUGCCCCGAUUCCUCUCUCAAGAAUAUGAAAAGAUCUCCAGAAAGGAGGUCCUCCUACCAGCUCGUGCCUCUUCUCUUCCUACUCAGCCAAGAAGCAAAGCAAUCUGUGUCAGAUGUUGCCAUGUAAGAGCCAGUUUGAAUUGCACCUCAUUACGAAAUCUCCCCAAGCCUGCGUCAGUACGGCUCCAUCAAUUGCCCUGGCCUCUGGUUCUUAAAUCGUAUCCAUCCAUUAUAUUAAACUAAGAGGAACUAUAGAUUAUGAGAAAGAAAUCAGACAACUAGACUUCUGCUCUGGGAUCUGGUUAUCAGCAACUGCCAGUAGAAUUCAGAGUUCGGCAGGCACAGAAUGCUUCAGCUCCCCCGUGGACUCUCCAAGGAACAUGCCACCGAUCAGUGAUCCCACUCCCACGAGCUCUGCUUGGUCACUGGGGGCCAAGACAUCACAUUAACACCCUCAUCUCUGCAAAAUCUCUUCAUAUCUAUAUUGGAUGAAAGCAAAUCUUCUGGACAAAUUGAAGGCUCCAUAAAGUCUUUAUGUUUUCAGAUAUCCAUAGGCUAAUCCAAAACACAAAACAAGCAAAAACCGAAAG